ensembl:snRNA U6 U6 spliceosomal RNA
CUACUUCAGCAGCACAAAUAUUAAAAUUGGAACAAUACAGGGAAGAUUAGCAUGGCGCCUGCGCAAGAAUCACAUGCAAACCACAAUUCAUGGAAUCCCUGUGU